UGGGGAAUAUUGGACAAUGGGGGCAACCCUGAUCCAGCCAUGCCGCGUGUGUGAAGAAGGCCUUUUGGUUGUAAAGCACUUUAAGCAGUGAAGAAGACUCCAUGGUUAAUACCCAUGGACGAUGACAUUAGCUGCAGAAUAAGCACCGGCUAACGCUGUGCCAGCAGCCGCGGUAAUACAGAGGGUGCAAGAGUUAAUCGGAAUUACUGGGCGUAAAGCGAGCGUAGGUGGCUUGAUAAGUCAGAUGUGAAAGCCCCGGGCUUAACCUGGGAACGGCAUCUGAUACUGUUAGGCUAGAGUAGGUGAGAGGAAGGUAGAAUUCCAGGUGUAGCGGUGAAAUGCGUAGAGAUCUGGAGGAAUACCGAUGGCGAAGGCAGCCUUCUGGCAUCAUACUGACACUGAGGUUCGAAAGCGUGGGUAGCAAACA
rnacentral:rRNA from 1 species